rnacentral:rRNA from 1 species
AGAAUCAACGCUGGCGGCGUGCCUAACACAUGCAAGUCGAACGAGAAAGGGGUAGCAAUACCCUGAGUAAAGUGGCGCACGGGUGAGUAACACGUGACUAACCUACCCUGGAGUGGGGGAUAACUGAGGGAAACCUUAGCUAAUACCGCAUAAUACCUACGGGUCAAAGGAGCAAUUCGCUUUGGGAAGGGGUCGCGGCCGAUUAGUUAGUUGGCGGGGUAAUGGCCCACCAAGACGAUGAUCGGUAUCC